GACGAACGCUGGCGGCGUGCUUAACACAUGCAAGUCGAACGGAAAGGCCCUGCUUUUGUGGGGUGCUCGAGUGGCGAACGGGUGAGUAACACGUGAGUAACCUGCCCUUGACUUUGGGAUAACUUCAGGAAACUGGGGCUAAUACCGGAUAGGAGCUCCUGCUGCAUGGUGGGGGUUGGAAAGUUUCGGCGGUUGGGGAUGGACUCGCGGCUUGUCAGCUUGUUGGUGGGGUAGUGGCUUACCAAGGCUUUGACGGGUAGCCGGCCUGAGGGGGUGACCGGCCAAAUUGGGGAUUGGAUACGGCCCAAGCCCCCACGGGAGGCUGGAGGGGGGAAUAUUGCACAAUGGGCGGAAGCCUGAUGCAGCAACGCCGCGUGCGGGAUGACGGCCUUCGGGUUGUAAACCGCUUUCGCCUGUGACGAAGCGUGAGUGACGGUAAUGGGUAAAGAAGCACCGGCUAACUACGU
rnacentral:rRNA from 1 species